rnacentral:lncRNA from 1 species
CUUGAAUUUUCGUUAAUGUACCCCUGAUUAUUUCAGUAACUCUCAUUCUCUUCACAUGUAUUAUACUAACGUAUCUUUCAUGUUUGAUACGUGCCAGUGGCCACGUAUACCUACAUAUUGACAUAUACGUAUCUACACACUCAGAGAAAAUCUUAUACAGUACAUGCAUAUAUAUGAAAGUCGACUAUUUAACUGGAGAACACUUGAAAUACAGCAGCCUUAAAAAGAUCCAAAGAGAGAGUGUAGGGUGGUGAAAACAGAUAAGGAAGCCGAUCGAGUACAUAUGAAAACAAACACAGCAUAACAUUAAAAUUGAAGUUACAAGAAAGCAUUUACCACGUUUGCUACAUCCUACACGAAGGGAAAAAAAAUCUGGAUCACUGAUCAUAUUGAUAUAUAAUUUGAUUGCAUGGUUUAGAAGAUUAACGCGGAGCAAAGAGAGCAACAGCAUUUGCCACUAUUGUAAAGUUUUAUGGGACCAGUUUUAUUUAUGUCUUUUUUUAUUAAUACUUUUGCUGCUACUGAACUAUCAAUUUCGUUUGGAAAAUAUUAUAGUAGCUUAAAGCAUUUAAUUUUGAAAUAUAUCUGUCUGAAU